rnacentral:rRNA from 1 species
UACGUAGGGGGCAAGCGUUGUCCGGAUUUAUUGGGCGUAAAGAGCGUGUAGGCGGCUUUGCAAGUCCGUUGUGAAAACUCGAGCUCAACCUCGAGACGCCGGUGGAAACUGCAAAGCUAGAGUCCGGAAGAGGAGAGUGGAAUUCCUGGUGUAGCGGUGAAAUGCGCAGAUAUCAGGAAGAACACCCGUGGCGAAGGCGGCUCUCUGGGACGGUACUGACGCUGAGACGCGAAAGCCAGGGGAGCAAACGGGG